AUCGGCGUCGUGUGUACAUCGUGGUUAGAGCAAAAGAGGACGAUGGCGUCACUACAGAGAUUUGCAAUACAGAUCCAAUAAAAAUGAAUGUAUAUUUCUUUAACAAAAAGAAAACGGAUCUACAAGCUAGCCAUUCUUCACGUGUACACAUACGAGCAAGAAUAUCCUACGAGUAGCAACUUCUAAGUGUUUUGCACAUCAGAUUUACACACGGACAAGUGCCAGGAUACAUCAAAUUAAGAUCCACUUAAAACCCAUCAAGAAAGCAACACACACGUUGCUAGCCUGGGCAGCCUAGAUCCACCGGGAAGUAGCAGCGCUGCAACCGAACCAAAUAUGUACAGGGCUCUGGUCGCAGCCAGCAAGCAUACUGGAGGACAGCACCAGUGCGACGAGGACGGGCAUGGCAGCUCGCCGGUGGCGGGGUCAGAAAGCGGAGGCCGGCUUGGGCAGGAGCAAUGAAGCAGCAGGGCCGAGAGUCAUUGCCGAACUUGUUGCUGCGGCGGCACACACCGGCGGAUGGAUCUAGCGCACGUGCGGCUCAACGCGGCCACGCGCACGAAUCCCAUGGGGCGGCGAUGCGGUUGACGCCGGGUGGCGCGAAGCUCCGCAGCCGUCCAUGGCGUCGGCCGCCUGAGAGGGAGAGGGCAAGGGGUGAGGUAUGGGGGAGAGAUAGAGAACGAGGAAGACAGGCAGGAGGAAGGAGAAGGAGGUAGGGGCGGCGGAGCUUGACCUGGUGCUCGUCAGCGGCUUGGGGAACGGCGGUAGGUGGAGGUGGAUCUUGGCUGGGAACAAGGAGAGGCGUGGGGGACGGGAUAGAGAGAAGAGGAUAAGGGAGAGAGAGAGAGAAGAGGAUAAGAGGUGGAGGUGGA
rnacentral:lncRNA from 1 species